GGUAUAUAAAUAAUAGGAUAAACUUAAAAUACCAUCCUAUAGUUUCGCACUUUCUUAUUUUAGUACUUUAUAAUUUAAAGUAUAUUAUGUUAGUAUCCUGUAGUUUCAUUUAUAUUUCUUCGUCAGAUUUUUGUUAACAUUUCGUUAAAUAAUAUACAAAAACUUUAGAUAUCCUAUCUGGAUUUAUCAAAUAUUCACUUUAGUAUCCUUUAGUUUUAACUUUAUCACUGAUUUAACGAAAAAAAUUAAUAGAAUCGAUAACAAAAGGGUAAAAAUAAAAUCACAGGACACUAAAUUGAUAUAGUUUAAACCACAUGAUACUAAAGUGAGAAAGUGUGAACCACAUGAGUGGUAUUUGAAGUUUUUCCUAAAUAGUAUUUAUCAUAUUUAAAAUUUCAACAUUUCAAUUUUUUUUUAAAUAUAUUUUUAUACUUAUAUUCUAUUAGUAAAUUAUUUGGAAUAACUGUUAUUAUUUCAUUACUAAUAAUUUGGAAUAACUGUUAUUAUUUCAUGCUCUCAAGUAUAUUCUUCUACCAUCAUCAUAUUUUUAAUUUGCCUUUAAGUUAGGGCGAAAGAAUUUUUUUUUUUUUGACUGUUGUAGAAAUUUAAUUCGGGUUUAAUCCGUGAUGAUUUAGCUGGUACUAUAGUGAAAUUAUUAUUUUUAAAUAAUGCAGAAAUAUACGAUGGUUAUAUUUAAAACAAAAAAAAAGGUAUAAAAAAUUUCAGAAUUUUUGGGGUGUAUACAUUAGGUAAUUAUCUCUUAAGAAAAUUAAACUUUUGGUCCUCAAACUAUGAGAAGCAUGAUAUUUUGGUUCUCAAACUUUAAUUUAGUAUAAUUUCUAAUUCAAACUUUCUGAAUUAUUACAAUCAAGUUUCAGAACUCAAUUUAGUUAGUUAAAUAUCGACAAAUUGUUGAUGUAGAAAUGAUAUACAAUUUUAAUUAUUAUCACAUCAUCAAUCACAAUAUUUGUAUAUCAUUUCUACAUCAAUAAUUUAUUAACAUUUAGCGGACUAAAUUGGACUGUACAACUUAAUUGCAACAAUUCAUUAUGUUCAAUCUAAAAAUUACAACAAAUUUAAGUUUGGGGACGAAAACUGUAAUUCUCCCUUAAAACUUUUUAAAAGUGAGAUAAUUAUUUUAAAAUAAUAGAAGAAAUUUAGGUCAGCUCUAAUGUUUUUUACCUAUUUAUUAAUUGAGUAAAUUUUAAAUACCACCAUAUAGUUUCGUACUUUCUCACUUUAUUUAGUACCUUAUGAUUUAAAAUGUAUUAAUUUAGUAUCCUGUGAUUUUAUUUUUUUCUUUUCGUCACCCUUUCUAUUAACUUUUUGUUAAAUAAUAUACAAAAAAAAGUCAGAUAUCCCACCUAUAGUUUAUCGAAUAUUCAUUUUAGUACCUUUAGUUUUAUCUUUGUCACUGAUUUAAUGAAAAAAAAUAGUAUAGUGGAUAACAAAAAGAGAAUAAUAAAAUUACAGAUAGGAAAAUGAAACAUUUUAAGCUAUAGAACAUGGAAUUGAGAAAUUAAGAAAGUUUAGGGUGGUAUUUGAAAGUUUUCCUUAUUAAUUUGGAAUUGGAAAUAUGCGGAGACUUGGCCACGCGUUUCACGCCUUCUCCGCUCGUUCGUCACCCGUGCCCACCUCGCGCGCCUCCAACCCGGACUUUCUUUUUGUCCGAGCGUCCGCAUCAAAUUGUUUUAUGCGAGAAAGGGCACGCCUAAAUUCGCCACUCUCCUGUUUAGCUUUUUUUUUUUUUUUUUUUUUUUUUUUUUUUUUUUUUGUAAAGAUUAAUUGCAUAUAUGUUUCUACAAAUAUAGUAAAUUUAAAAGUUGGAUUUGAAAACUAUUCCGGACCCUAGCUAUUUAAAAGUUGGAUUCGGGAUCGGGUCCAAAUCGGAUAUGGAUAUAACAUAUCCGGACCCAUACCCGAAACUUUAAUGGAUAAUUUUUUUUACUUGUGUAGUGUCCAUUUUUUAUCAGGUCUGGUUCGGGUCUGGAUAGGGUCCGGAUCGGUUAUGGUAAAUCAGAUAUUUUGGACAACUUUACUUAUUUGCUAUUAAAAUAUAAAUAGUUCUCUAACAAUAACAAAUCGAAGGGAUAUACUUGAAAAUAUUAGAACUUUUGUAAGGACAAUAAAUGAAGUUUGAACUUUAUAGGGAUAUAUUUGUGAUUCACUAUAUUUGCAGAAAUCUGUAUGCAUUUAAUCCUUUUUUUACAAUUUUUUUCCCAUAAUCUAAUUUUAAAAAAGAAAAAUUAUAAAUGCAGUAUUCAAAUUAUACGGUGCCUAAUAAUUUAUUUCUCAAAUUUAAAUUUAUUAUAAUUUUUUUAGUGAAUUUUUUUUAUCAGUGGCCAUCUAGUUCUGCAGCCUAAUUUAGUUGAUUAAAUAUUAAUAUAUCGCUAAUAUAAAAGUGAUUCAACAGUGUUGUAAUUAAUUUCGUGAUAAUAAUUAAAAUACAACCCUUCUACAGAUCAAUCACUAAACAGAAUAGCAAAAUAAAUUUUUUUUCAAAAUUAUAGAACAAUAAAAUACAGAUUAUAAGUCAUUAUCUUAUUUUAUUGUAUUAUUCUAUAAUAUUAAAAAAGAUUAUUUUGUAAUUUUAAUCGCAUAUUUUUAUAGUGAAACGAAAAUAAAAUUAGUUAAAAUAAUAUUUA
rnacentral:lncRNA from 1 species